rnacentral:rRNA from 1 species
AACGAACGCUGGCGGCAUGCCUAACACAUGCCAGUCGAACGAGACCUUCGGGUCUAGUGGCGCACGGGUGCGUAACGCGUGGGAACCUGCCCUUAGGUUCGGAAUAACUCCCCGAAAGGGGUGCUAAUACCGGAUAAUGUCUUCGGACCAAAGAUUUAUCGCCUUUGGAUGGGCCCGCGUUGGAUUAGCUAGUUGGUAGGGUAAAAGCCUACCAAGGCGACGAUCCAUAGCUGGUCUGAGAGGAUGAUCAGCCACACUGGGACUGAGACACGGCCCAGACUCCUACGGGAGGCAGCAGUGGGGAAUAUUGGACAAUGGGCGAAAGCCUGAUCCAGCAAUGCCGCGUGAGUGAUGAAGGCCUUAGGGUUGAAAAGCUCUUUUACCCGGGAUGAUAAUGACAGUACCGGGAGAAUAAGCUCCGGCUAACUCCGUG